AUUGAACGCUGGCGGCAGGCCUAACACAUGCAAGUCGAGCGGAUGAAGGGAGCUUGCUCCUGGAUUCAGCGGCGGACGGGUGAGUAAUGCCUAGGAAUCUGCCUGGUAGUGGGGGAUAACGUCCGGAAACGGGCGCUAAUACCGCAUACGUCCUGAGGGAGAAAGUGGGGGAUCUUCGGACCUCACGCUAUCAGAUGAGCCUAGGUCGGAUUAGCUAGUUGGUGGGGUAAAGGCCUACCAAGGCGACGAUCCGUAACUGGUCUGAGAGGAUGAUCAGUCACAUGGGAACUGAGACAGGGCCAAGACUCCUCGGGGAGGCAGCGGGGGGGAAUAUGGGACAAUGGGCGAAAGCUUAACCCAGCAGGGCGGGGGGGGUAAAGAAGGUCUUGGGUUGGAAAAGCUUUUUAGUUGGGGAGAAAGGGAAUUAAUUUAAUCCCUUGUUGUUUUGACUUAACAAAAAAAAAAACCCCCGCCUAACUUCGUG
rnacentral:rRNA from 1 species